rnacentral:misc_RNA from 1 species
UCCGGUUUGUCACCGGCAGUCUCCUUAGAGUGCCCACCAUAAUGUGCUGGUAACUAAGGACAAGGGUUGCGCUCGUUACGGGACUUAACCCAACAUCUCACGACACGAGCUGACGACGGCCAUGCAGCACCUGUGUUCUAGUUCUCUUUCGAGCACUCCCAAAUCUCUUCAGGAUUCUAGACAUGUCAAGGGUAGGUAAGGUUUUUCGCGUUGCAUCGAAUUAAUCCACAUGCUCCGCCGCUUGUGCGGGCCCCCGUCAAUUCCUUUGAGUUUUAAUCUUGCGACCGUACUCCCCAGGCGGUCAACUUCACGCGUUAGCUGCGGUACUGAGAAAUCGCUUCCCCAACACCUAGUUGACAUCGUUUAGGGCGUGGACUAC